GGUGCAGUAGCUCAGUGGUAGAGCGCCGGCCUCAUAAGCCGAAUGUCGCAGGUUCGAGUCCUGCCUCGCACCA
rnacentral:tRNA from 1 species